rnacentral:rRNA from 1 species
GUGGGGAAUUUUGGACAAUGGGCGCAAGCCUGAUCCAGCCAUUCCGCGUGCAGGAUGAAGGCCUUCGGGUUGUAAACUGCUUUUGUACGGAACGAAAAGCCUCUGGUUAAUACCCGGGGGUCAUGACGGUACCGUAAGAAUAAGCACCGGCUAACUACGUGCCAGCAGCCGCGGUAAUACGUAGGGUGCAAGCGUUAAUCGGAAUUACUGGGCGUAAAGCGUGCGCAGGCGGUUUUGUAAGACAGACGUGAAAUCCCCGGGCUCAACCUGGGAAUGGCGUUUGUGACUGCAAAGCUGGAGUGCGGCAGAGGGGGAUGGAAUUCCGCGUGUAGCAGUGAAAUGCGUAGAUAUGCGGAGGAACACCGAUGGCGAAGGCAAUCCCCUGGGCCUGCACUGACGCUCAUGCACGAAAGCGUGGGGAGCAAACAGGAUUAGAAACCCCAGUAGUCC